UUCGAGGCUACUGUCAAUGUGUUAAGGCUUAAUUCCUCCUGUGAUUGCAGAGAAGUUACUGAAAGUGAAAAGGAAACUAAUACUCUUCUCCAUCCCAGGAGAAGAGAGAUUUUAUUAGAGGGUAGUGAAAUAUUUAUAAGAACAUUAGAGCAUGUGGGACUCAAGAACUGAAUUCACCUCAAACCUUCAUUUGCAUACUUGCUACCAGCGAAAUCUAUUAUGGGAUGGCCUGGAUAUGUCACUUUGGAAAUACUGCAUGUAAUGAACAUCGAGAAAAGACUGGGGCAGAGAGGAUAGAAGAGAACAGGAUCUCAUGGUGCAGGAGCAGAAGGUGUCACCAGCUCAUCUCAGCUCUUUCUGUCUGCUUCCCUUACCAACUAGAAUGGCAAUUUCUUGAGAACCACCACCAAGUCCUUGCAUGUGGUUUCCUUAGCCAUCCCUACCGUAAGGGAGCUGGGAAUGCUGUCUUUUAGCCAGGCACAUCGCCACUUUGGAGUUGUUUUACGGAGGAGAAAAGAAGCAGAGU